UUUCAGUGAAAGUAUAUUUUCAAAACGACAUUUAUUCAGGAUGGGCAACGGCCGUCGUGAGCGAGGAAGCCCACCAGCCUCGAGGUUUUGUGGACCUUGCUUGUUCGCGGGGAGGAAAUUCCAUCUGCAGAAUGUUGUGCAGGAAAAGCCACCCUGAACGCACAGGCUACUGCGAGAACCACUCCCGCUGCGUGUGCAAAACACCCCCGUCCGGCCACAGUUCAUGAUGGGCUGAAGGUGCUCGACUAUACGUGCCAAAAGGGCGUCUUUCAAUAAAAUGAGGCCCUCUCUAGC